AGAGAGAAGAGGAGACAGAAGAGAAGCGGGCUACAAACUAAUAGCCGGCUGCAAAAUAUGCUCCUAGACACUUUAUGAGAGAGGAUGGUGGACCUUGUAUCAAUAAAGUAGCACUUAUUUACAUCUACCUAUUGUACUUGUGGGCUAUAAGCUCGUUAUAGAUGACGUGUCAACAUCAUAUAGCGAGCAGCUGGUGAUACAUCGUAUAGCCAAUAUUAACCAUGCUCUAAUCUCACUGGUGACACAUCGUAUAGCCAAUAUUAACCAUGCUCUAAUCUCACAUUGACGCCCAUGGCGCAGCCCAGCGCACCCUAAAAAUUAACAACUGGAAAUUGGGGCCACCAAGCCAGGUGUGCCCUACUUGUCCUUGAGCCACAGUAUGUCGUCGGGUGGCACGUACGCACCCUUAUCAAGGCAGAGCCC
rnacentral:lncRNA from 1 species